AAACUAUAAAUGGGUAUAUUUGUCUAAAAAAGAUUUUCCGAACUCGUGCUUUUAAAGGGAGUAUGAUUUGUUGCUGUUAUAAAUGUGAAUUGAGAGCUGAUUGUAUAUCAUAUUCAUUUUAUUUUGCUGAUUUUUAUGCUUUGCUGUAAUGCCAUGAUUUUGAUUGUGACCACAUUGUAAUAGACAUUGUAGUAGAAGUCUCGAAACAUUUCUACAACUCAGUUACAAUAAAGAAAUAAACUUAAAAAGAAACAAACAAGAUACUUAACCACACGCAUUGCACGUGCAUCUCACCUAGUUAUCUGAUGGGUGGCAGCUUAUGUCAGAAUAAUUGACUGAAAUAUAUGAUUCUUUGGGAUACAAAUAUAUGGUCCUAAUUGGUUUGUAAGAUGGGGGAAAUAGUGUAUUAUUUUCAUCCAUGAGUUAAGCAUAGAAGCUUCUAAAUCUAAGGUACUUCAUUCAUGACAAAUAUCCGGCCUAGCUUCUGUUGCUCAGAGACCAACUUUAAUCUGAAAAGUUUGAGCGCUGGACUCAUGUAGAUGGAAAGAGUUGCUCAACUUACUUCACACAACUGCUUAUCAGAGGAGUUCCAAGUGAUUUCGAGGAGGCAUUGUGAGAGGUUUUCGAUUGUCUUUCGGGUUUGUAGACUCGGGAUUAGGUGGAGUUGGUGGUUCAUGAGUUCUUACUUCUUAGAAUGGAGCAGAGAAUAAUAUUCUUCAAGAUUGCUAUUGUUUUCUAGAUGAAGGUUGAUAAAGUCUUUGAUGUUUAGUUGAUAAAUUUUGACUUUUGGAAUAAUAAUAUUCUUUCCUUUAAGUUGAGGUUUAUUUCAAGUUGAGGAAUAAUUAUUUUUAUCAAGUUAAUUGGAUUAGUGUUGACUUUCA